rnacentral:lncRNA from 1 species
CAGGGGUGUGCCCAUCGCUCCCACUCUCCAGCCAAGCUAGGGAAGGGCAGGGCGGGAGAGCGGGAAGCUGGGCCUCUUGCUUUUCUUUCACAUUCCCAGCAUGGUAGAUGGGUGUGGACAUCAAUCCGAAGCCCACUUCCUUUCGAGGGAUCAACAGGAUGUCUCAUCACCGCGCAAAUGCGGCUGCCCCUGUUUAACCCCAUCACAGCCUGGUGCUUCAGGAUCCCUCAAAGUCCAGGGUCAAGGCCCAUUCUCUCCCUGGAUCCUGCCUUCCCUGCUCCACCGGCUCCCUUCUCCAGCCCAACUCCAUUCCUUUCAAAGGGUCUUGUUCCCUGGAGCCUGCCAGCACCGAUCCUGUGUUCCCUAGGAGUCCGGAAGAGAUGUGAGCUUGAAAGAUGGGCAGAAGUGACAAAGGGAGACACAAGGCAGAGAGAGGAGCAGAAGCAGGAAUACAGGACACAGCAGACCCUCGAGCUUGGCGGGACACAGGAUCCUGCUCUGCAACAUCCACUUCCUGCUCCCGAUCUCCCUGAAGGGGCUGCUGCUCGUGGGCCUGCUCUGCACUGUGCUGCAAGUGAGCAGUGCUAAGGGGGCCUCCAGGGGGAAAUAAAGUCACAGCCUGAGCCGGGGAACCGCAGCUCCCACACCAUCAACACCCUCAGAGGGGGCAAGCAGAACCUCUGGCCUCCUAUCAGGUAAUAAGCAGCAAUUGCAGUUCCCCAGGAGACAAGGGCCCUGCAGAGAUGAAAUAUCCCUCAUCCUGGCCUCAGGAAUGCAAUCCCACUCCCAGCUGGCUCUGCACAGCACAGGGAUGCCGAAGGGGCCUCUCUGCCUUCUGCCACCUCUGCCUCAGGAGCAGAUAAAAGAAAGGACAUCCCCCUUGCACACUGAUUCCUUGGAGGCAUCUGCAUCUCACCUUCAUGGAUCCUCCCUCAGGCCUCCUUUCCUUGUGGCUCCAGGAUGACCCUGUCAGAGAUAAUGGACUAUCGUUCAGUUGCAGAGGCCCCAGGGCCCGUCUGGACUUUUCCAUCCCAAGAGGGGCUCAGCUCUAUCCCCUUUGUGCCUGUGACACUCUCCAUCCCCCACCCGGCUCAGAACUGGCACAGCCACCACCAACCACUCCUGAUUCAACCCAAGCUUGGCCCUUUCCACCUCUCAAACUGUGCAACAGCAAAUGCAGGAUGCUCAGCCCUCAUGUGUCAGUCCCCCCAAUUCACUUGUAAUUAAAUAACAACACACCUCUUUUUCUAAUUUUCAAAGGUAUAUCUAUUUCCCCUCAAUAAAGUUGUUAG